UCAAAACAUCGCCUCCUGCAAAAACCCACGUAUAGGAGGUCCUACCUGCCCAGUGACUAAGUUAAACGGCCGCGGUAUUUUGACCGUGCAAAGGUAGCGCAAUCACUUGUCUUUUAAAUAGAGACCUGUAUGAAUGGUGAAACGAGGGCUUAACUGUCUCCCUUUUCUAAUCAAUGAAAUUGAUCUACCCGUGCAGAAGCGGGUAUAAAUAUACAAGACGAGAAGACCCUAUGGAGCUUAAGACAUAAAGUCACCUAUGCCAAAUCAACAAGUUAAAAGGAAAAAGCAAAUUAGUUAUUGACUUACGUCUUCGGUUGGGGCGACCGCGGAGAAAAAAAAAUCCUCCAUGUGGAAUGAGACAAUCUAAACCACGAGGUACACCUCUAAGUCACAGAACUUCUGACCAAACGAUCCGGCACUAGCCGAUCAACGAACCAAGUUACCCUAGGGAUAACAGCGCAAUCCCCUUCAAGAGUCCAUAUCGACAAGGGGGUUUACGACCUCGAUGUUGGAUCAGGACAUCCUAAUGGUGCAGCCGCUAUUAAGGGUUCGUUUGUUCAACGAUUAAAGUCCUACGU
rnacentral:rRNA from 1 species